rnacentral:lncRNA from 1 species
UAAACUCAAAACAUAGGCCGAUAAGGCUGAACAAUCCUUCACGUACACAACAUAUGUCUACAAGCUUCUAAGAAUAUGUAAAUGUCAUAAAGGUCGGGAUAGAGUCCCGCCAUACCAAACAAUACACGUCUAAAUCAUACUAAUCAAACAAGCAACUCUGAAGCAAAUGGAGCGCACCAACAUCUUCCGCUGAGCUGAUAGCCUACUGGGAGGGCUCUCGACCUGUCUAUCGGGACCUGCGAGCAUGAAACGCAGCAUCCCUCGCAAAAGGGACGUCAGUACGAAUAAUGUACCGAGUAUGUAAGGCACAUNNNNNNNNNNNNNNNNNNNNNNNNNAUCAUCAUAUACCAGUUGAUCAGGUGGUGGUGCAUAUAUAACACCGUAACUUUUUCCCGUAUCCCAUAUACAUAUAUAUACAUAUAUACGCAUAUAUAACGCCGUCUAAGUCGUGGGUCAAUGUACAUGUAUAAAUGCAUGAAAUGCAUAUGAAAUACGAUAAAAAAAUCUCUCGGUGCGUCAUAAGACCAUUAUACCUCUGAUUAAUAUCAUAAAAUCAUUUUACAUAUUUUCUGAGACCCAUGAACAGACGAUGGAAUAAUAAGACAUGGAAAUUCAAGAAAAUAGGCACUUCUAAUACUUCUAUAAAUAGAGUCAUAUAUGGAAUUUGUGCAUUUGCACGUUUCAUUCGUAUCGUAUGGAUCAUGCCAAAAGAAAGAAGGGAUAGCCUUAACAUACCUGAACCGAUUCUCCUGACAAUUCCUUUAACACCCGUUGAUUGUGACAACAAGUAAUGACAGAUCGAAAUAGGGAAAAUCCAUGAACUUGUGCGUUACUUAAUUCUUGAAAGCUCAUAUUUUUGAAUAAUGUAAUCUUCACGUUUUUGAAAUCUUCAUAUUGAUAAGGUUUCUUAGCAUCUCGUUGAACUUAU